AUGCGAGUCCACACAGGCCACACUCGACCGACCGCUUCCCAGCCAGUCCCCGCGCUACCACUGAGAGGACGGCAAGCGCGGGCUAGAGGAGCUCAACGCCACCACAAAGAGACGUCCGGGAGAAGCCUAGAGCGGACACGAGGCUGGCGGCCUCCGGGGACGGAAGGGGCGGGGCGGCGUGAAGUGGCAAAUGAUUCAAGGCGAGGCAAGAGGUGCUUCAGAUGCUGUCUUUUGCAGUCCUCCGAGAGCCUUCUCCGCUGGUGGUAUACUUACGAGGACCAGAGGUGAGGUGUCAGCAAGGAGGCCCACAGGUGGAAAGUGCUUUGGGCCAAUGGUACACACCUGCUUUAUUGGAUAGACGCAGAGAAGUAUGCCUGGUCACAGCCAGAGCUUACUAGGUCAAGAAAUUAGGAGCUCCCCAGAAGUCUCUUGUAUGCUGUCUCCUAGUUGUGAGCACCUUUUACCAAAGGUAACCACCAUUCUAACUUCUUUGACCAUAGACUGGUUUUGGUUGUUUCUGGACUUUGAGCUUUGGAAUUGUACCACAUAUAUUCUUUUGUGUCUGGCUUCUUGUGGUCAGUAUUAUGUCCUUAAAAUUCAUCGAUGCUGUAUGACAUCGUAAGCAAUUAAUUAUUUGUCAUUGCUGAGUGGUAUUUCUAUUACGUGAAACUGACAACAUUUUCUUUUAUCUCUUUCACUGUUGAUGGACAUUGGGUUCAUUCAAUUUGGGGCUUCUACAAAUAAUGCUGCAACAAACAUUUGAACAUUCUGUCUUUUGGUCCACAUACAUUUACACUUUCAUUUGGAUAUGUAGUAGGGAGUGGAAUUGCUGGAUUAUAGGCAAUGUGUAUGUUCAGUUUGAGUACAUACUGCUGAAGAGUUUUUCAAAGUGGUUGCAUCAAUUUACAUUCCUUCUAGCACCAAUUUACACUCACAAACAUGCUCACCACCACUUGGAGUUCUCAGUUGUUAUUGUUGGCUUUCAUUUUAGUUAUUCUGGAGGGUGCAUAACUAAUUGCUUUCUAAAGCUUCAAUAUCCUCCUUGGGGCAUGAAACAAAACUCUAAGUGGGCUCUGGAAUCAGACUGCCUGGUUCAAAUCCCGGCUUAGCCACUAGUAGGAUAAUGUGUAGAAAUUACAUUAAUUCUCUAAGCUUCAAAUUCUUAUCUGUAAAAUAGAGAAAGUAGCAUCUGCCUUAUAGGGUUUUUGUGGGGAAUAAAUGAAUAUGUGUUUGUGUAUGUGUGUGUGUUUGUGUAUAACUUUUUAUAUAUAUAGUUUAGCAUAGUGCCUGGCACAUAGUGAGUUCUCAAUAACUGGUAGCUAUAAUUAUUCUUGCCACUAUUUAUGGACCUCCAGUUAUGUCUGAAAACACUGGAAUGAUAAGCUCACAUGUAUUAUCUCAUUCAUGACAUGGUAUGUUUCAAUCUGGAAAGAUGGGUAUUAAACUUAAAAGAAGUGGAGUCAUUAUUUGAACUAGUAUCCCCUAACCUCACACCCACCUUGUCCUUGCUUUCCUUAUAACAAUAUUUAAGAGUCAGUUGAUUUAAAGAAAUGUGAUAUAGGGGAUUUAACUAAUGACUGGACAGAAGGACAGAUUGAAACUGUGUUUUUCAGCAGUUCUUCUGAUUUGUCUCAUUUGAAGUAAAGAUUUCAGACUGUUGUGGGGGUGGCGUAGGGGAAGGAAAUACAGAUUUGUUCACAGCUGCUAUUCAAAAUACUAGCCAUGUAACUAGGAAAGAAUUUGGCUCAAAUAAAAACCCCAGGGCUCUUUAUUGCCAUCACAAUCAUUAUUGUGUCAAUUAGGAUUCAUCUGGGUGUCCACAGUGUGUUUGGCACAACGUUAAGGAAGGAAGCUGAUGGUUACAGGAACCAUUUUGGUUACAUCUUCGAAUGACCAAAAUGGUGUGAAUUAAAUGCAGAAAUUAAUUAUUAAAAAUUAAUAAUUCAACAGCACUGGGAACAAAAAAAUUAGAACUGGAAAAGGAUUUAACAAUUCUGUUGCAUAGCUUCCUCAUUUAGAGGUUGAUGAGACUUAGUUCCGUAAAUGGUAAUGUUAUACAACUAACAUAUAAAUGACAAUCUGGAAAGCUUGUACAACCAGUAAGUAAUAGGGAUAGUCAAGACUCACACCCAGGUUGUCUUUCUAAAAAUGCAGUGUUUUUCCUACUCAAUCAGGCUGCAUCUCAAUCUGUAAGAAUCAUAUUCUUAGAAAACUAGAAAACAUAAUAUUAUCUAUUUAUAAUAUUAAUAUCAAUUACUUCUUUUGAAUUGCUCUUUUGGAAAAUUGGUCAAGCCAUUAGAUUCUACUUGUUCUAUCUAUUCAGUAUUAGUCAUUAUCUGUGAUAAGAAGAGAAGGUAAUGAUGGCUUUGGUGGGGAUGCUCUAGCUUUGGUGGAGCUUAUUUAGAUGAACAUUAUGAGCAUUCUAAAUAUUUUUGGAAAAAAUUACAAAAACAUUAUAGAUAUUUUUGAGAUUCCUUGAAAAAAUUUCAUAUGGGCCUUUGGACAGAUCUUUGAAGAGCAAUACUGCCUAAAAGCCAGCAGAGGGAGAACAGAGCAUUGUUUUGCUAAUUUUCACCAAGUUUCUCCUCAUGCUCUUUUACAUUUUAUUUUUCCACAUAUUUAAUACAUUUCUUGACCAUGAGAUAAUAUUAUCCUAUCCUGCACUUUUGGAAAGGGCAGAGGAUGCUGCUAUCAUUGAAUUAGAGUUUUGUUUAACUCACUGGUCAAUAGGCUAUCAAAUGAGCUGGGUUAGACAGUUCUUAAGCAUAGUCGGAGUUUAUUUAUGUGGCUUUCACAUGUUUUUCUCUAUAAUGAUUGUGUCAAUUAGGUGAUUUUAAAUAUUAUAUAUAAUCAAGUCAAUUAAUAUAGAUUCUCUCACCUCCAAUAAUUACUUCUAAGAGAAAGUUAUGAUGUAAUAACAAGGUUUGGGAUCAUCUCAUUAAUGACUUGAUGUUGCUAUGUAAGAGGGCAAAUGUAUAUUGACUCAAAAGAAAGUUGAAAAUGAUGACUUUUUAUAAUGAGAGUUUUAGAAAUAAAAUUCAAGUGCCAGUUAGUUGAAGUAAUCACCUACUCAUUCUUCCAAAAAUCUUCAAUACAUUUCCACAUUCACUAUUGCUUUGUUUUCUGUAUCUUCAAAGUUUGAGGUACAAAACUGAAUAUACUACAUACUUGUCCUCUAAGAAUUCGUAAGAGACAGACACAGAAACAGAUGAUCAAAAAUGUUAACAGUAGUGUUAGACAUAUUCAUGAGGCAGUAAGUCUGCAUAGAACACAGGCACCCAAACCAAUAAAGAGAAUCUGGAGUGCUUCCGGGAGGAGGGUCAUCUGAGCUGAGAUUCCUUAUUUAUGCUUAAUUUAUAUUAAUUCAUUUAUGCAAAUGAAAUUUUUUCAAGGAAUCUCAAAAAUAUCUAUAAUGUUUUUGUAAUUUUUUCCAAAAAUUUUCUGGGUUAUUCCCUCCCCCAUCCACAUGGUUAUGGUGAGAGCAGCUAUUCUGUACAUCAUCACACUGCAUCCCUAGGCCCCAAAUGUUUGGCCCAUGAGUGAGUACAUGAAACAUGCUGAGGCAAUCAAUGUCCCUCCCUAGGAUUUUUCCACAUGGGACUCACUGAAGCUUGAGAACUGUCAAUUGCUAUGUUUUCUGCCAUUUGAUAGAGGAAAACCAAUAAUAACAACGUGAGUCACAUUGACAUGCACAGGGAGAAGCAGAGACAAACUGAAGAGAAUGCAUCUUCCAGAGAAUGCAUUCUGUUGUUACCUACAAUAGAUAGACAAUCACGUCCUUGCUCUCUGUUUCAGGAAACAUCCCAGUAUCCUUACAGUAAAUUUCUCUUUUUUCCUCCAGUUAGUUUGAACUGGCUUGCUUUCUUCUGCAGCCAUGAGAAUCCCAGCUGGUAUGAAGAGUUACCAAGGCAGAGGAAGGGUGAAGGACAUUUCAUGGACUGCAUGAGCAAAGCCACAGAGACAUAAAAAAGCAUGGCAUGUAUAGAGAGAUAUAAAUAGUUUAGUUUUUUUGAAACAAAAUGAGAGAGAAAGAGUGCUAAGAGCUUUGGUGAGAGAUAUGUCAUUUUAAAGAGUUUAACUCUACCCUGAAGGCAGUGAAGAGCCUUACACUGGUUUAGACAGUGAGUGACAUGGUCAGAUAUGUGGUUUAGAUAGAUCACUCUGGCAGGAGUUUCUUCAAUAGUUCUCUCUUAUCUCUGGGCUUAUCCUAUGUUCCCUCACCCAGGAACCUGGGGGAAGAAGAUGGGACAUAGAAAAUGUAUUCUUUCACUAGCCAGAGCAAAGCCCAGAGUCAUGACUUUUUAUUAUUUGCAUUUUAAUUGCUAUUUAACAGUCUGUCUUCUCUUGCAUUCUGAAAGUCCCACUGGAGCACAGGCCAUGUCUAGUUUGUUUACCAUUGAAUUCCCAAUGCCUAUCUUAGUACCCAGAACACAUGGUGAUUCAAUAAAAAGUUGUUAAGUGAAUAAAUGAGUGAAUGAGUAGAUAGUGAUAAGGUGGAGGAGAUAAAUUCAAGAUAUAUUUUGCAAUAGUCAGGACUUGAUGAGUUUUAUAACAUAUCCUCCUUUACUGAGCACUUAUGUGCUCUGCAGGGGACGGAGUGCUUUGCAUGCAUUAUCUUAUUUAAAUUUCACAACAAUCACCUGCGUAAUAUGUACCACAGCUCUUCCUGUUUUUCAUAUGGGGGAAAAAGAAGAUUAAAGAGACCAAAUGCUAGUUUGAACCAUAUGAAAUUGCCACCUAAUAACUUGCCCAAUAUAGUUUAUGAGUCAGUAAGUACUCUACAAACUGAAUGUGUGUUUCCUCACCAAAUUUAUAUGUUGAAACCUAAUCCCCAAUGUGAUGGUAUUAGGAAAUGGUACCUUUGGGAGGUAAUUAGGUCACAGAUAUAGAGUCCUGAUGAACGGAACUAAUGCCCUUAUAAGGGGCUGAAGAGGUCAGAGUUCUUCCUUCCACCAUGUGAGAAAACACACCAAAUCUGCCAGCUCCUUGAUCUUAAACUUUAUAGUCUCAAGAACUGUGAGAUAUAAAUAUCUUUUGUUUAUAAGCCACCAGUUUAUGGUACUUUAUUAUAGCAGCCUAAAUGGACUAAGACAAAGUGGUACUGAAACAGUUGAAUAUCCAGAUGCAAAAAAGUAAACAAUGAUUUUUAUGUCAUACCAUAUAC